GGGUUGUGAGGUUAAGCGACUAAGCGUACACGGUGGAUGCCCUGGCAGUCAGAGGCGAUGAAGGACGUGCUAAUCUGCGAAAAGCGUCGGUAAGGUGAUAUGAACCGUUAUAACCGGCGAUGUCCGAAUGGGGAAACCCAGUGCAAUUCGUUGCACUAUCGUUAACUGAAUACAUAGGUUAACGAGGCGAACCGGGGGAACUGAAACAUCUAAGUACCCCGAGGAAAAGAAAUCAACCGAGAUUCCCCCAGUAGCGGCGAGCGAACGGGGAGCAGCCCAGAGUCUGAAUCAGCUUGUGUGUUAGUGGAACGGUCUGGAAAGUCCGACGGUACAGGGUGAUAGUCCCGUACACCAAAAUGCACAGGCUGUGAACUCGAAGAGUAGGGCGGGACACGUGGUAUCCUGUCUGAAUAUGGGGGGACCAUCCUCCAAGGCUAAAUACUCCUGACUGACCGAUAGUGAACCAGUACCGUGAGGGAAAGGCGAAAAGAACCCCGGCGAGGGGAGUGAAAAAGAACCUGAAACCGUGUACGUACAAGCAGUGGGAGCACCUUCGGGUGUGACUGCGUACCUUUUGUAUAAUGGGUCAGCGACUUAUAUUCUGUAGCAAGGUUAACCGUAUAGGGGAGCCGCAGGGAAACCGAGUCUUAACUGGGCGUUAAGUUGCAGGGUAUAGACCCGAAACCCGGUGAUCUAGCCAUGGGCAGGUUGAAGGUUGGGUAACACUAACUGGAGGACCGAACCGACUAAUGUUGAAAAAUUAGCGGAUGACUUGUGGCUGGGGGUGAAAGGCCAAUCAAACCGGGAGAUAGCUGGUUCUCCCCGAAAGCUAUUUAGGUAGCGCCUCGUGAACUCAUCUUCGGGGGUAGAGCACUGUUUCGGCUAGGGGGUCAUCCCGACUUACCAACCCGAUGCAAACUACGAAUACCGAAGAAUGUUAUCACGGGAGACACACGGCGGGUGCUAACGUCCGUCGUGAAGAGGGAAACAACCCAGACCGCCAGCUAAGGUCCCAAAGUCAUGGUUAAGUGGGAAACGAUGUGGGAAGGCACAGACAGCCAGGAUGUUGGCUUAGAAGCAGCCAUCAUUUAAAGAAAGCGUAAUAGCUCACUGGUCGAGUCGGCCUGCGCGGAAGAUGUAACGGGGCUAAACCAUGCACCGAAGCUGCGGCAGCGACACUAUGUGUUGUUGGGUAGGGGAGCGUUCUGUAAGCCUGCGAAGGUGACCUGUGAGGGUUGCUGGAGGUAUCAGAAGUGCGAAUGCUGACAUAAGUAACGAUAAAGCGGGUGAAAAGCCCGCUCGCCGGAAGACCAAGGGUUCCUGUCCAACGUUAAUCGGGGCAGGGUGAGUCGACCCCUAAGGCGAGGCCGAAAGGCGUAGUCGAUGGGAAACAGGUUAAUAUUCCUGUACUUGGUGUUACUGCGAAGGGGGGACGGAGAAGGCUAUGUUAGCCGGGCGACGGUUGUCCCGGUUUAAGCAUGUAGGCUGGUUAUCCAGGCAAAUCCGGAUAAUCAAGGCUGAGGUGUGAUGACGAGGCACUACGGUGCUGAAGUAACAAAUGCCCUGCUUCCAGGAAAAGCCUCUAAGCAUCAGGUAACAUCAAAUCGUACCCCAAACCGACACAGGUGGUCAGGUAGAGAAUACCAAGGCGCUUGAGAGAACUCGGGUGAAGGAACUAGGCAAAAUGGUGCCGUAACUUCGGGAGAAGGCACGCUGGUGUGUAGGUGAAGUCCCUGCGGAUGGAGCUGAGACCAGUCGAAGAUACCAGCUGGCUGCAACUGUUUAUUAAAAACACAGCACUGUGCAAACACGAAAGUGGACGUAUACGGUGUGACGCCUGCCCGGUGCCGGAAGGUUAAUUGAUGGGGUUAUCCGUAAGGAGAAGCUCUUGAUCGAAGCCCCGGUAAACGGCGGCCGUAACUAUAACGGUCCUAAGGUAGCGAAAUUCCUUGUCGGGUAAGUUCCGACCUGCACGAAUGGCGUAAUGAUGGCCAGGCUGUCUCCACCCGAGACUCAGUGAAAUUGAACUCGCUGUGAAGAUGCAGUGUACCCGCGGCAAGACGGAAAGACCCCGUGAACCUUUACUAUAGCUUGACACUGAACAUUGAGCCUUGAUGUGUAGGAUAGGUGGGAGGCUUUGAAGCGUGGACGCCAGUCUGCGUGGAGCCAACCUUGAAAUACCACCCUUUAAUGUUUGAUGUUCUAACGUUGGCCCCUUAUCGGGGUUGCGGACAGUGUCUGGUGGGUAGUUUGACUGGGGCGGUCUCCUCCCAAAGCGUAACGGAGGAGCACGAAGGUUAGCUAAUCCUGGUCGGACAUCAGGAGGUUAGUGCAAUGGCAUAAGCUAGCUUGACUGCGAGCGUGACGGCGCGAGCAGGUGCGAAAGCAGGUCAUAGUGAUCCGGUGGUUCUGAAUGGAAGGGCCAUCGCUCAACGGAUAAAAGGUACUCCGGGGAUAACAGGCUGAUACCGCCCAAGAGUUCAUAUCGACGGCGGUGUUUGGCACCUCGAUGUCGGCUCAUCACAUCCUGGGGCUGAAGUAGGUCCCAAGGGUAUGGCUGUUCGCCAUUUAAAGUGGUACGCGAGCUGGGUUUAGAACGUCGUGAGACAGUUCGGUCCCUAUCUGCCGUGGGCGCUGGAGAAUUGAGGGGGGCUGCUCCUAGUACGAGAGGACCGGAGUGGACGCAUCACUGGUGUUCGGGUUGUCAUGCCAAUGGCACUGCCCGGUAGCUAAAUGCGGAAGAGAUAAGUGCUGAAAGCAUCUAAGCACGAAACUUGCCCCGAGAUGAGUUCUCCCUGAGACUUUAAGUCUCCUGAAGGAACGUUAAAGACGAUGACGUUGAUAGGCCGGGUGUGUAAGCGCAGCGAUGCGUUGAGCUAACCGGUACUAAUGAACCGUGAGGCUUAACCUUACAACGCCGAAG
rnacentral:rRNA from 1 species